rnacentral:tRNA from 1 species
GUCCCAGUAGCUCAGUGGAUAGAGCGGCUGCCUUCUAAGCAGCGGGCCGUGGGUUCGAAUCCCGCCUGGGACG